rnacentral:rRNA from 1 species
AAAAACUCCGGUGGUAUGGGAUGGGCCCGCGUCUGAUUAGGUAGUUGGCGGGGUAAGGGCCCACCAAGCCGACGAUCAGUAGCCGACCUGAGAGGGUGGCCGGCCACAUUGGGACUGAGACACGGCCCAAACUCCUACGGGAGGCAGCAGUGGGGAAUAUUGCGCAAUGGGGGAAACCCUGACGCAGCAACGCCGCGUGAGUGAAGAAGUAUCUCGGUAUGUAAAGCUCUAUCAGCGGGGAAGAAGGAAGACGGUACCCGACUAAGAAGCCCCGGCUAACUACGUGCCAGCAGCCGCGGUAAUACGUAGGGGGCGAGCGUUAUCCGGAUUUACUGGGUGUAAAGGGAGCGUAGACGGCGUCGCAAGUCUGAAGUGAAAGCCCGUGGCUCAACCGCGGAACCGCUUUGGAAACUGCGAGGCUGGAGUGCUGGAGAGGUAAGCGGAAUUCCUGGUGUAGCGGUGAAAUGCGUAGAUAUCAGGAGGAACACCGGUGGCGAAGGCGGCUUACUGGACAGUGACUGACGUUGAGGCUCGAAAGCGUGGGGAGCGAACAGGAUUAGAUACCCUGGUAGUCCACGCGGUAAACGAUGAGUGCUAGGUGUCGGGGGGCAAAGCCCCUCG